rnacentral:rRNA from 1 species
UACGUAGGGUGCGAGCGUUAAUCGGAAUUACUGGGCGUAAAGUGUGCGCAGGCGGCCGAGCAAGUCGAGUGUGAAAGCCCCGAGCUUAACUUGGGAAUUGCGCUCGAAACUACUUGGCUGGAGUGUGGCAGAGGAAGGUGGAAUUCCAGGUGUAGCGGUGAAAUGCGUAGAGAUCUGGAGGAACACCGAUGGCGAAGGCAGCCUUCUGGGCCAACACUGACCGCUCAUGCACGAAAGCGUGGGGAGCAA